UACGAAGGAUCCAAGCGUUGUCCGGAUUUACUGGGUUUAAAGGGUGCGUAGGCGGACUUUUAAGUCAGGGGUGAAAUCCUGGAGCUCAACUCCAGAACUGCCUUUGAUACUGAAGAUCUUGAGUUCGGGAGAGGUGAGUGGAACUGCGAGUGUAGAGGUGAAAUUCGUAGAUAUUCGCAAGAACACCAGUGGCGAAGGCGGCUCACUGGCCCGAUACUGACGCUGAGGCACGAAAGCGUGGGGAGCAAACAGG
rnacentral:rRNA from 1 species